rnacentral:rRNA from 1 species
UACGUAGGCAACAAGCGUUGUUCGGAGUUACUGGGCGUAAAGGGUGCGUAGGCGGCCCUGUAAGUAUGGUGUGAAAUCUCCCGGCUUAACUGGGAGGGUGCGCUAUAGACUGCGGGGCUCGAGUGUGGGAGAGGAAAGUGGAAUUCCUGGUGUAGUGGUGAAAUGCGUAGAUAUCGGGAGGAACACCGGUGGUGUAAACGGCUUUCUGGACCAUAACUGACGCUGAGGCACGAAAGCGUGGGUAGCAAACAGG